GGGUGCGAGCGUUAAUCGGAAUUACUGGGCGUAAAGCGUGCGCAGGCGGCUUCUUAAGCCAGACGUGAAAUCCCCGGGCUUAACCUGGGAACUGCGUUUGGAACUGGAAAGCUAGAGUGUGUCAGAGGGGGGUGGAAUUCCGCGUGUAGCAGUGAAAUGCGUAGAUAUGCGGAGGAACACCGAUGGCGAAGGCAGCCCCCUGGGAUAACACUGACGCCCAUGCACGAAGGCGUGGGGAGCAAACAGGAUUAGAUACCCUGGUAGUCCACGCCCUAAACGAUGUCAACUGGCUGUUGGGAGAGAAAUCUUUCAGUAGCGAAGCUAACGCGUGAAGUUGACCGCCUGGGGAGUACGGCCGCAAGGUUGAAACUCACAGGAAUUGACGGGGGCCCGCACAAGCGGUGGAUGAUGUGGAUUAAUUCGAUGCAACGCGAAGAACCUUACCUACCCUUGACAUGCCAGGAACUUUCCAGAGAUGGAUUGGUGCCCGCAAGGGAACCUGGACACAGGUGCUGCAUGGCUGUCGUCAGC
rnacentral:rRNA from 1 species